UUAAGUCCCGCAACGAGCGCAACCCUUAUCUUHAGUAGCCAGCGGUUAGGCUGGGCACUCURGAGAGACUGCCAGGGAUAACCUGGAGGAAGGUGGGGAUGACGUCAAAUCAUCAUGCCCCUUAUGKDCAGGGCUACACACGUGCUACAAUGGCGUAAACAAAGGGAAGCRAARCCGUGAGGYDGAGCAAAUCYCAAAAAUAACGUCUCAGUUCGGAUUGUAGUCUGCAACUCGACUACAUGAAGCUGGAAUCGCUAGUAAUCGCGAAUCAGAAUGU
rnacentral:rRNA from 1 species